GGCGCCAUCGGGCCAGUCCGAGCCCGGUGGGGUGGGGUCGAGGAGCGGCUGUUUCGGACGCCCCGCCCACCGCAACCUUCUAGGAAGCCGCCGUUGGCUAUAUAUAGCGCCGAUGUGGAGCUUUUGGUGCUCAAUUGCUGCUUUAAUCAAAUCGAGAGGCGUCUUGACGAGACUUCAGUUUUUAGGCAGGGGAAACAGUUUCUCUCUGUGACGGGAAAUUUGAGGAGGAAAGUCAGGGUUUCGCUUCAGGAAAGCAUAUCAUUCCUCCACUGACAUGCACAGAAUACAGUGCACCCCCUACCCAUGUUCUUGCUGGUUCAUUUACAGUGUCAUAUUCGGGGGGUGGCCUGUGUUCAUAUAGUAAACCAGGCGAGAGCUGAGGGUGCCAAGUAAAGAGGGGCACCAACUCUGAGGGGAACUUUCAGAACCCUGCUAACAUAUGCCUCACCUCAGCUUUUUACUAAGGUUCCUGGGCAAGUUACUUCUUGUUAGACCAUCUGUGAAAUGUUUUGUUUGCAGUAGUGAAUAUUUGGAUUGUUCAAACUCCCAUGGCAGCCAUUUUGUGACUGGGCCUGUCCUGUCUGUGGCACUUUUUCAAAAUUCCAAAUGUGCCCAUGGGUUCAAAAGCUAAGGAAUACUUGGCCACCGCCAAAGUUCGUUCAGGGUUGUGAUUAAUUUUUUCAGUCUGCCAAGAAUCUCAAGUUGUGACUUCCAGUCAAGUUCGCCGUAUGAAUCCAUGAGGAGCAAUUCUUCAGGCACUUCUUGGUUGCCAGCUCGGUCUUCCGAAUGGUGGGAUCUCCAACUUACAGUAUGUCUCUCUGGUUAAGAAGGCAGGCACUGCCAUACGUGUGGAUACACAGAUUGGAGGGGGGUGCCAAGGGGAAGCAGCUGCCCACUAACCUCUGGACAUCUUUCCUGUGGUGCCCACCCUCAGUCCGAAUGCAAUCAGAAGUGUCGCCAUUUCCAACCCCAAGAUGAUUGGGAAGCAGGUUCAGGGGAUUCCAUCUGAGAGGCCCAGGAAGAGGAAGUAGAACUUGAAGUGGCUAAUUUUGGAGCUCCCCGCUCUGCACGUGUGAGCAUCAGGCUGUGCCAUCCUGCACACUCCAACACACAUUCCCGUCACCCCUAAACGGGGCUUUCCUCAAACAGCCUCUCCAGAUUUUGAAACUCUUCCACCCUCUGCCGUGCAUUGGACCUCCGUGCUCACUUGUUCCACGUUUGUGCUCUUCCUCGACCCAAUCCUGGUCUCAGUGAGGCUCUUGAGAAGAAGUGACCUAAAAGCGAGCGAGCGAGCAAGCAGCGAGUUGAGCUAAGACCACGCAGUGCAUUCAAAGUACUUACAAAGCUCACAAACAGUGAUAUGGAAAAUGAAAUUAGCAGCAGAAGUAUUAAAAUAUUGAUUUAUUUUUAUUUUUAUUUAUUAUUCAAUUUAUAUACCGCCCUUAGCGAAAUAGCUCUCAGGGCGGUGAGCAAGCAUUCCUAGACCAGGCUUUGCCUAUCAAUAAUUCAGUUUACCUUCAAAGACAGUGUAAGAUUUUGGACUUUGCUUUAACAUGUUUUCACUUGGCAUGAUGGGUUUGGGUGUGUUUUUUAAUUCCUUCUGAGCAGGAGGUCUCUGGCAAAUAACAUUCAUUCUUCUGUGGUCAGUAGCUGGAAUUUGCUUUGAGUGGCUUCAUAAAGGGAGGGAAAACUUGGGCGAGGGCUGUGGAGCCUUGCUUGGGACGAGGAGGUGCUCUGGGCUUCUCCUUAUCCUCGGCCAAGUCAGGAGGGUUGUAUGCAUGUGGGGCUGGGGAAUGAUAUUUUUGGCAGCCCCCCGGAGCUUUCAGAAAAGAUUGGGAAGAGUUGUGUCAUUCAUUGCUAAUGGUGCUAUAACAAAUCCCCGGGAGAGGGUCUGAUGAUGCUGGCGCACAACAACCACUUUCCACACAGCAGCCUCAAUGAUACUUGUGGAGGCACCAUUGAGAGAGGCUCAGAGUGUAUGUUGAUGAAUGCCUUGUGGUGUUGUGUGUGCAAUUGUGAACAUCAUCUAAGCCUUCCUGCCCCCUUCCUAAGCGAGGCUUGUUGUUCCCCCUUGUGGGCAGGAAUGGGCUCCUAAUCCAGUGCAGGCUGGUCCAACAGGGCGAAUGGGGGGCACUGCCCCACCAAUCACAGCCUGGCUUCAGCCAGCCCCCACCUGCCUGUCUUCUGACUGGCAACCAAUCCAGGGGUGGCUCUGCCUCCUGCCCCAGUGAGCACCAGCUGCCACUGCCCCUCUUCCACGCCCAUUGAAAAGGGACUCACAGGCCAGACCCCAGCUGGCUGUGUGCCUGUUGCCUGCAGCAAGGUCCAAAGGAGAGUCCCUCAGGGCCAGAGCACUGUGGGCUUUGUGUGUGCAUGGGUGUACCUGCACCUGCACUUGCUUGACAAGGAAGAGCCGCCUCCAUUGGUGAUCAAGUCCUGUUAAGAAGGGCAUGGAGCCACACACUUUCCAGAUGAAAUCUGCUGAAUUAAAUCUGCAUGUUAGACUUUUAUCUUACAGGCAUUUUUUAAAAACCUCUCUUGCUGUGGAAAGUGGGGGAAAGCACAAAACAUGUAACCUGAGCAUUGCCCCAGGCAACAUACACAGGAGUGGGGGAGAGAUAAACUGUGCUUAUGCAUCACACACACACACCCAUGUGUGCAUAUGUCUGUGGCAGAGAGGUACAUGUGGAGAUUUGGGAAGCUGCUGACCUUUUUUUCUGCAAGAUCAUAUCCCUUGCGAGCAACCCACUCAUGCUUAAAUUAUUAGCUAAGGCUGUUUGCUCAAGGUUUCCUGACUGCAUUUUGCUGGGAGGUGUUGGGAAAUUCUUUGCUGUAUUGCCAUGUAAUCUGCUCUUGCCCUUUUGAUUUUUUUUUAAUUUUUAAAAAACUGU